UGUUAAAAAUUUCAUCCAAAUUUCAUCCAUUUGUACUGUUAAAAACUGGCGUGGUUGACGAAAUAACCAGACAGCAUGUGUACCUCAUGCUGGUUUGUAGGGACCAGUUUUAAUAGUAGAAAUAGAUGGAAUUUUUAACA
rfam:Gossypium raimondii Chr01_contig_9, whole genome shotgun sequence.